rnacentral:rRNA from 1 species
CCCUUAGAUGUUCUGGGCAGCACGCGCGCUACAAUGGUCUUCGCAAACGGAUGCAUUCUCGAAGGAGAAUGCCAAUCUUGGAAUCUAUGCCUUGGUCGGGACAGUUGCUUGCAAUUUUUCGACUCGAACCAGGAAUUCCUUGUAAUCGUGAUUCAUCACAUCACGAUGAAUACGUCCCUGCCCUUUGUACACACCGCCCGUCGCUCCUACCGAUCGAAGAGUUAGGUGAAUUGUUUUGAUCGAUAAGAUUUGACUAUGGUCAACUCUCGUUGUGAGAUUCUGUGAAUCUGACUGUUUAGAGGAAGGAAAAGUCGUAACA